GACGAACGCUGGCGGCGUGCUUAACACAUGCAAGUCGAACGGGCCUUGUCCCCUUUUUUUUUGGGGGUGGGGUUAGUGGCGAACGGGUGAGUAACACGUGAGUAACCUGCCCCUCACUUCUGGAUAACCGCUUGAAAGGGUGGCUAAUACGGGGUGUUCUGGCCUGCUCGCAUGGGUGGGUUUGGAAAGAUUCGACCGGUUUUGGUGGUUUUGGUGGGGGAUGGGCUCGCGGACUAUCAGGUUGUUGGUGGGGUGGUGGCCUGCCAAGGCGUUGACGGGGAGCCGGCCUGAGAGGGUGGGCGGUCAUGCGGGGGCUGAGACACGGCCCAGACUCCGACGGGAGGCAGCAGUGGGGAAUAUUGCACAGUGGGCGCAAGCCUGAUGCAGCGCCGCCGCGUGAGGGAUGGAGGCCUUCGGGUUGUGAACCUCUUUCGCCAGUGAAGAAGGUCCUGCUCUUUGUGGUGGGGUUGACGGUAGCUGGGUUAAUGAAGCGCCGGCUAACUACGUG
rnacentral:rRNA from 1 species